rnacentral:rRNA from 1 species
AUUGAACGCUGGCGGAAUGCUUUACACAUGCAAGUCGAGCGGCAGCGCGGGGGCAACCCUGGCGGCGAGCGGCGAACGGGUGAGUAACAUAUCGGAACGUACCCCGUCGUGGGGGAUAACUAUCCGAAAGGAUAGCUAAUACCGCAUACGUCCUGAGGGAGAAAGCGGGGGAUCACAAGACCUCGCGCGAUUGGAGCGGCCGAUAUCGGAUUAGCUAGUUGGUGGGGUAAAGGCUCACCAAGGCGACGAUCCGUAGCGGGUCUGAGAGGACGACCCGCCACACUGGAACUGAGACACGGUCCAGACUCCUACGGGAGGCAGCAGUGGGGAAUUUUGGACAAUGGGGGCAACCCUGAUCCAGCCAUGCCGCGUGAGUGAAGAAGGCCUCGGUUGUAAGACUCUUUCGGUCCGGGAACGGAAAGUACGCACAGGUUAAGUACCCUACGUGUGGAGUGACGGUACCGGAAGUAAGAAGACACCGGCGUAACUA